rnacentral:rRNA from 2 species
CACGUAGGAGGCAAACGUUAUCCGGAUUUACUGGGCGUAAAGCGCGUGUAGGUGGUACUGUAAGUAGGGCGUGAAAGCUCCUGGCUCAACUGGGAGAGGCCGUUCUAAACUACAGAACUAGAGGAUGGUAGAGGGAGGUGGAAUUCCAGGUGUAGCGGUGGAAUGCGCAGAUAUCUGGAGGAACACCGGUGGCGAAGGCGGCCUCCUGGACCAUUCCUGACACUCAGACGCGAAAGCUAGGGUAGCAAACGGG